rnacentral:lncRNA from 1 species
UCAGGAGCCUGCAGACAGGGGGAUUUGCCUGGGAAGGAGAAGUAGAAAACAACGUGUACAGCAAGGCUACAGGGGUGGUCCCCCAGCACAAGUAUCACCCCACAGCAGGCAGCUAUCAGCUUCAUUUUGCCCUGCAGCAACUUGAACAACAGAAACUUCAGUCCCGGCAGCUCCUGGACCAGAGUCGAGCCCGGCACCAGGCAAUCUUUGGCAGCCAGACACUACCUAACUCCAAUUUAUGGACAAUGAAUAAUGGUGCAGGUUGUACAAUUUCCAGUGCCACAGCUAGUGGCCAGAAGCCAACCACUCUGCCACAAAAAGUGGUACCACCUCCAAGUUCUUGCGCCUCCCUGGUUCCCAAACCCCCACCCAACCACAAACAAGUGCUCAGAAGGGCAACAUCCCAGAAAACUUCCAAAUCCUGCUCACACUAAAAUAUGAACCACAAACACACAGAGAAACAACCUGUUCACCACUCCUGGGUGCAUGAUUGAGGGUGAAGCAUCCACCAGCACUUCAAGGGGUCCAUAGUAUUUUUUUUUUUUUGCUGCCUCAAAGUCCCCAAAGCCUUCGAGCAGAAGUGGCAGUAGAUGGUUGCUAAUCAGCCAAUGCAGACUUUCACUGGGACAACAGGAAAGCAGAUCUUCUGGGUUUUGAUGGAACUUGGCAGUGGGGACAUUCAGCUGAUGCAUUAUAUACCCCGUCAGAGCACACUUGUAUCUUUUACCUUCCCUUUGCCCCAUGCCCCCAAACUGCUUAAGUCUUCUCUGUCCCUUUACUGCUGCUGCACAGAGAUGAUAUAAAAGAGGCUCUUUGGCUAUUUGCAUUUUGCUUCCUCUUCUUUUCCAGAUUACAGUAUGACGCUUUAUUUUCUUUGUACAAGCUUAAAAUUUCAACAUCAUCAUGCGCCAAAGUUGUUCCUCCCUUUUCGGAGGAUCUAGGGGGAAAGAGGAGCAUUCAUCACAAGUUUCCUAGAGAGAGGAGACAAAUCGGUGUGCUGUUGACAACAUGAGCCAGGGUAAAGGCA